AUAUACACAUCCCAUUAUUAAUUGUUUCUCCACGUAUAUAUACACUUCAAACACAUUGCAGUACGUACGAAAAAACUCAUAAUAUUCUGAACUUCUUCUUCAACGUCAUUUCUCUCUUCUUGUACUGGAAACCAUGGAAGGCGAAAAUAUGAGAGCAUUCGACAUGGGCGCACUAAGAACAGGUCUCCCACAAAACAGGAGAGGGUUGUCAAGGUACUACUCAGGGAAAUCAAGAUCAUUUACGUGCAUGGCCGAUGUACGAAGCGUAGAAGAUCUGAAGAAACCGGAAAAUCCCGAUGCGAAAAAGAGGAAGAAACAUUCGGAGAGGAAGAACUUUCCUGUUCCAGCCUACCCUCCUUAUCCAUGUCGAAGAGUUUCUAGCACCACCCAAUGUACUGCACCCUGCGUUGGCGUGUGAAUAAUAUAAAUCAACUGGAGACGAACAUGGAAAAGCACUUAACAUUCUUUUCUGCAAUAAUUUGCUGCUUUCCAAAAUCUUAAGAGGCGCCUUUUUCGAAUCCCGGUCUAAGGAUUCGUGUGGUUUUUGGAGGAUCUAGCUACUGGAGAACCAGGAAUGAAGAGCUAGCUUUCCCUUUCUCCCAUAUUGUGUAUAACUUUAAACAUAUACAUGUAUUAGAUCCUAUAUUUCUUACUCAAUUUCGGUUUUUGUUUUUGAUACAGAAAACAGACUUGUGUAAUUGUAUCUGUACUAAAAUUUGGUUUCGCGUAAUAUACUUGUGAUGAAA